ensembl:lncRNA
AGGACUUUGUCUCACCAGGAUGUGGUAGAACACCAGCCCAAGGUCUCUGGUAUGCGGGAGAAGAGAGUAGGCAGAAGGCACAGAAGCUACAAAGAGAAAGUCAACUCUUAUCUACAUGUGCAUGCAUGUCUGACAAAUGACCAGCACAGGGAGCAGGACAUGACCUUUGACCUAGAUGCUCUCUAUCUGGGUUCACAUUCUCACAACCAAAACGAACAUGGUGACAAUGGAACCACUGGAACUGAUGGGAAAACAGAUGAAAAAAACCAUGAAAGGAGCCGACUUCCUGAUUUUACUCGACUGUCGAUCACGUGUCUGGGUUUGUCGUUCAUGCUCAUUCUCUCAUAUGCUGUCAUCACCCUCCUUCACAAACUGAAGAUACACAGGACUGUCUCUCAACAGGAUGUGGUAGAACACCAGCUCAAGGUCUCUAGUAUGCACGAGAAGAAAUUAGGCAGAUGGCACAGAAGCUACAACGAGAAGGUCAACUCUAUCUACAUGUGCAUGCCUGACAAAUUACCAGCACAGGGAGCAGGACAUGACCUUUGACCUAGACGCUCUCUAUCUUUGUGCGUCCCAAAAGCCUCCACACUUGUACUUUUUGAUCACUUCAUAUAGUGUCUAAAUGUGUUUGCUAUAGCCUGUUAAUUGGAAUGCUGUAUAAGGUCCACCUUUUGGCAUCGUCUAUGUUCACCACACUGAGACUGUGCCAUAUAAAAAUACCCUUUGGAUAAUUGUAGAGGAAUGCACACCUGACUGUAAGUCACUUUGGAUAAAUGCUGUGGAUAAAAGCGUCUGCUAAAUGGCAUAUAUUAUUAUUAUUAUUCUAUUACGAAAAGCUCAUUACGUGGUCAUAUAAAGGUACAGGGCUCAUCAUGUAAUCAUAUAAACAUACAAUGAGGAAUGUCAUACCUUACACACCAAGCCAUACUGCCCACUUAACAUGGAAGCCAGCAGCACCAAUGUUUUGGAGGAAACGCCAUACAGCUGGCAACCGAAGUCAGCAUGCAUAUGCACCCGGCCACCACACUGGGCCAAUUGUGCGCUGCUUCAUGUGUCUCCCGGUCGCGGCUGGCUGUGACGCAGCACGGUAUCAAACUCGGAUCUGUAGUGACGCCUCUAGCACUGCAGUGCAGUGCCUUAGACUGCUACACUACUCAGGAGGCACAUGCCAGUUACUU